CAUUCUUUCCCAUAACAUACUGUAGCCCCACUCCAAUAUUGGUGUGCACCUGUUUGCCAUGAAGCACAGUUGGAUUUUUGUUUGCUAAUUUCAGCAAAGAUGUGUUAAUCUUCUGUGUAAAGCCAAGGGGCAAUUCGGGGUUCAGCAUCUUGCCCAAGGACACUUCGGCAUGCAGAUGGGGAAGACUGGGGAUCGAACUGCCGACCUUCAGGUUGACGGACAACCGCUCUACCCCUCAGCCACAGCCGCCUGCUGAAACUAAGCAGUUUCAGUGAUCAGAUUGAGAGUAACAAUGUUUUCCAGAGUGUGUCUGUCUGAUUCGGAUUGGA